UUUAUGCCACGGGUUUUUGGAUAUUAUAAAAAUAGUGAGAGAUAAAUGAUAUAUAUUACUUUCAGUAGAGGAGAAAAUUAGCAAUUUUGCUUUACAUUAUCAUUCUGUUGGGCCCUUCUUUUAUAUGAAUUAUGGGCUCCAUGACUACACUUUGUGAACGUGCAAUUAUUUGAAACAAACUUAUUUCUUGAAUAUGUACGAGGAGUACUUAUUGGUAAAACUUUUUUUUUUCUUGAUACUUAUUUUUGUUUUUACUUCUGCCAUUUUUUUUAAUCAAUUGGGAAAAAAACCUCUAUUUAUGCUUAAUACAAUUAAUGUUUUUGAUUUUUCAUUUUGAUAGGUUUGACAUGCAUAUUGUAUGCAAUUAACAGAAGGUCGCAUGAUGAUAGCAUAAAUAUAAAUACGAAUCCAACAACCAUACUUCCUAAAUCCCCUUUGCUCUCACUAAUCAUGAAAACGUUGAAGUUGUUCAGUUUUUUCCUCCGAUUGCAAUGCUUUCUUUUCAGUUAGCUUUCUUGAGAUCAACAAUUUGAAUCAUCAACUAAACAAGAGAUCUUCUUUGACCUUGAUUUCUCUACUCAACUAAUAAUUCGGUAAGUAAUAUAUCAUAUCAUCUAAUUUUCCAAUAAUUUGUAGGUUACUUUUGAUUAUAUGCAAUUUGCACUGACUUUUUUUUUUCUAUUCUUCUUGUACUGGAACUAGUGAACAUCAGUGCACCAUCUAAAGGUUAUGGGAAGCAGCUUUAGCUGUAACUAUUGGAUAAGUUAAUGUUAAAUUAAUAAGAUUUACUGCUAAACCAAGUUUAGAGUUUUUUUUUUUAAGUUUGCUUUAAUUUUGUACACUUCAUUCGAUAUCAUUGAGUUCUUAAUUCUAGGAAAAAAGAUACCUAUACUCCCAAGAUUUGGGGAAAUAGUCACAAGUACCCUAAAUUUUAAAAAUAGGGCACCAAGACCACCCCUUCUUGCCCAUCAUACCCUAUGACUAUAUCAAUUAGAAAAUUAACUUUAAAAGUUUUUAAUUAAC
rnacentral:lncRNA from 1 species